CUGAGUGUUGAGUGUUUGUGGGACAGCAGAUUUCCACAAUGUCAAUCAGCGCCACGCAAUCAGUUUAUUCUAUUUAUCAGCCAAGCAGCUGACUGGCAAUCCGCUCCGGGCGUUCGACAAUGGCUCCGGCAAACACUGCGAAUCCUUUGUGUACAUAGCCAUCGUCCACACAUGCAUACAUGCAAGCGUGUCUGUGUGAGUGCCGUGCACAGUGGCGGUAAAAUUAAUGGCACUGUCAAAGGAUUUAAUUCAGAUUUUAAUCAAUUGAAUUGCCCAUUAAUUGUUUUCGCUUAAAUAUGCCUUUUGAUGUUGAAUAAUGAGUGCUACCUAUGAGUAAUUAUUAGUUUUAAAUAAGAUAUUUAAUGAAUCUCUUUAACAAAAUCCGUAUUUAACAUAAUUCCAAUUGAUAAGCUGCAUUUACCAACCAAAUAACUACAAAGAGCGAAAAAUCUUUUAAAAAAUUAAAUUAAUUGUUUGUCACGUUUAAUUAUUUGUUAUAUAGUUAGUACGUGGAAGCAGCUUGAAAUCAAACCAAUAAAUAGAUCUAUGCUCACUUUUUAGUAUACCUUUAUUAUAAGUUACUAUGUUCGUGUUAGAUGUUAUAGGUUUGUGACAACACAGGCGUUCCCUCAGCACAAAGUGUAAAUAAACAAAUUCUCAGCAACAGUCAAGUGGACCGGACUGGCAUCUGGGACUGACGAGUGCAGGACGUGCCACGGCCGGAGAAUACGGAAUCCAGAACCCGUUGGAUCGGAGAGGCGCCAUCACCUUGGCCACCUGAGUGGCGGGUAAUAAAAUGCGCAUUUGUGCACGAAAUUACGACAGUUUAGAGCUGUUGCUCCAGUUGGCAGCCGGAUUGACUGGGAUGCGGAGAACACGGCUCGGAUCGCAACGAACGUCCGUCGUAGAAGUUUCUUUAUGUUCUCGCCGGCGGCCGCAAAGGGCCAACAAGUUUUGGCCAAGCAAAGUUAUUUUCAAUAAGCUGCUGCUGGCUAAAACUGCGAAAAUCAACAGCACGGGAAAAGUUAGCAACUGUUUUUGCAGCUCCUGCCUAAGCGGCAUUCAUAUCCUUCAGCCAGGUUGGCACAACUUGAACUUACCUUAACCCAUUAAUUUGUUUCGAGUUUUCGAGGAACCAGCUGAAAAGUGUACAUAACUAACUAUAAUAAUAAAUAGCUUAGUAAAAAGCA